rnacentral:tRNA from 1 species
GGGCCCGUAGCUCAGCUGGUUAGAGCAUCGUCUUGAUAAGGCGAGGGUCAGUGGUUCGAUCCCACUCGGGCCCACCA